GGUGAGUUGACUGAGCGGCCGAAAGUGACGGUCUUGAAAACCGUUGAAGGGCAACCCCCUUCCGUGGGUUCGAAUCCCACACUCACCGCCA
rnacentral:tRNA from 2 species